CGAAGGGGGCUAGCGUUGUUCGGAUUUACUGGGCGUAAAGCGCACGUAGGCGGAUCGAUCAGUCAGGGGUGAAAUCCCAGGGCUCAACCCUGGAACUGCCUUUGAUACUGUCGAUCUGGAGUAUGGAAGAGGUGAGUGGAAUUCCGAGUGUAGAGGUGAAAUUCGUAGAUAUUCGGAGGAACACCAGUGGCGAAGGCGGCUCACUGGUCCAUUACUGACGCUGAGGUGCGAAAGCGCGGGGAGCAAACAGGAUUAGAUACCCUGGUAGUCCACGCCGUAAACGAUGAAUGUUAGCCGUCGGGCAGUAUACUGUUCGGUGGCGCAGCUAACGCAUUAAACAUUCCGCCUGGGGAGUACGGUCGCAAGAUUA
rnacentral:rRNA from 1 species